AAUUCUCAACCUUGCUCGCUUUUACUAGCUUGAGUUUGGCUUGGAUGUGAGGGCUUUGCUGGCUUCCUUCAGUGGAUGGUCUGCUCCCUUUAAAUGCAUUAGUGGGAUCUCUUGUGGACCGUCACUUGGUGUGAUAAUUAUCUAUGCCUUGGGACUUUGAAGCAAACUAAUGGGAACCUGCUUAUAACCGUCUUCGGACAAUCUCUGACA
rnacentral:misc_RNA from 1 species